UGAAGCAGAGGAGGGCUUCGCAGCAGGGGAGGAAGAAGGGGUCGGGCUUUCCGUGGGGCGGGAAUGUUACAGAAUCCCAGAGCUGGGUCAUCUAGAUUCUAGUCCAGCCCCUGCAAUGCAAAGCAUCCAGGACAGAUGGCCGUCCAACCUCUGCUUAAAAAUCCCCACAGCCUCCCAAGGGAGUCCAUUCCACCGUCGAACAGUUCUUCCUGUCAGAAAGUGCUUAAGUGAGGUUUAGUCGGAAUUUCCUUUCUUAUAACUUGAAGCCUCCCCCAAGCAGGAGAAAACAAGUUUGCUCCAUCCAUCACGUGACAGCCAUUUGAAGAUGGCAUCCGAUCUCUUCUCCAAUCUCCUUUUUUCCAUGCUAAACAUACCCAAACUCCCUCAACCAUUCCUCAGCGUAAGGCUUGGUUUCCAGACCCUGGAUCAUCUUGGUUGCCAUCCACUUCACACCUUCCAGCUCAUCAAUAUCCUUCUUAAAUUGUGGCACCCAAAAUUGGACACUGGACUCCAGGUGCGGCCUGCCCAAGACAGAAUAGAGCAGGACUAUGACUUCCUGUGAUUGGGACACGAUAGUAGUCUUGAUGCAGCCUAGAAUAGCAUUCACAUUUUUUGCUGCUGCAUUACACUGUUGUGUGUUAAGCUUGAGGUCUGCCAAGACCACCUAGAUCCUUUCCAUACUGUAAUGGCUUGGGUCUUUCCCACACAAGCGAGACGACUCUGGCAGUUAAUUAUUUCAGAUUUAUUAGUCAAAUCAAAAGGUCCUGGUCAGAGCUCAGCUAAUCUCCUUCAUCCUCAGAAAGCACAGUUGCCGGAACUGAGGCCCGCCCCCUUUUCCCCCAACAGGAAAACUCCCCACCUUCUCUUUCUGUCCCUUUUGCGCUUCUUGGCCAAUCUACUGAUCCUAUGAGGUUUUGGGGAGGGCACUCCAUGUAUUCCUGUGUCUGUAUCACUGUCUGAGCUGACAAGUUGCAUUCUUUCACUUUGGCUCUCUCUUUCAUUUUCCUUGUGUCAGAGAUCAGGUUUUUGCUGCUCCCUGCUGCUGCUGCUCCCUCCCCUCUGCAUUCCACUCUUACCUGCUCUCUCUCUCUCUCUCUCUCUCUCUCUCUCUCUCUCUCGGCCUGCGUUCUCAUUCCCUGUCAGUGAAGGAAUGGAGCUGACACAUAGGUACUACUGGCAAGCCAGGUGUCCCCCAUCUUAUAUUUUUACAGCUGGUUCUUUCUCUCUAAGUGCAGAACCUGACAUUUGUCCCUAUUGAAAUUCAUUUUGUUAGUUUUGGCCCAGUUUGUCUUCUGUGGCGUUGGCUACCCCUCCCAGUUUUGUGGCACCUGCAGAUUGGAUGAGCAUCCCCCUCAAUGUGUUUAUCCAAGUUGUUUAUAAAGAUGUUAACAAAAAACAGGCCCAGGAAAGAACCCUGCAGCACCCCACUUGUCACUUUUUUCCAAGAUGACAAGGAACCGUUGGUCAGCACUCUUUGGGUUCGGUCAGUCAACCAGCUGCAAAUCCACCUAACAGUUAUCUUGUCCAGCCCACUUUAUACCAGCUUCUCCGCAAGAAUAUCAUUUGUCAAAAGCCCUACUGAAAUCAAGAUACACAACAUCCACAGCAUCCCCCUGAUCCACCAAGUUUGUAAGGCUAUAAAGAAUGAGAUUCAUCUGGCAUGACUUGUUUUUGAGAAACCAAUGUUGGAUCUUAGUAAUCACAACAUCUUUUUCUAAGUGCUCACAGACUGACUGUUUAAUUAUCUGUUUUUGAACCUUUCCUGGUAACAACAUCAAGCUCACCAGUCAGUAGUCACCUGGGACUUCUCCCCCUCCCCUUUGAAGAUGGGGACAACAUUUGCCCACCUCCGGUCUGCAGGGACCUCACCUGUUUUAUAGACAGAAGCUCUGAGAUUACAUCCAUAAGCUCCUUUACUACCCUUGAGUGUAGCUCAUCAGGCCCUAGAGAUUUGAACUCAUUUAAAGUAGCCUGGUGUUCCCUUACCACCUCUUUUCCUAUUUUGGGAUGCAGCUCCCUCCUUGCGAGCCAGUGUGGUGUAGUGGUUAAGAGCGGUAGUCUUGUAAUCUGGGGAACCGGGUUUGCGUCUCCGCUCCUCCACAUGCAGCUGCUGGGUGACCUUGGGCCGGUCACACUUCUCUGAAGUCUCUCAGCCCCACUCACCUCACAGAGUGUUUGUUGUGGGGGAGGAAGGGAAAGAAGAAUGUUAGCCACUUUGAGACUCCUGAAGGGGAGUGAAAGGCGGGAUAUCAAAUCCAAACUCUUCUUCUUCUUCUUCUUGCACCAUUUGUUAUGUUAUCACCAGGUUGGGCAUUGCUUUCCUUUUGGGUGAAGACAAAUUAGGCGUUGAACAGUUCCACCUUCUUUUUGUCACCUGAUAAUAUUUCUCUGUAUUUCCCAUGCAAGGGACUUACUGUUUGCUUGAUCAUAUUGUUUCAAACAUAGCCGAGGAAACCUUUUUUAUUAUUUUAAACUGCUCUUGUAAGCCUAAGUUCAUUCUGAGCUUUGAGGAACUAUUUUAUUGCAUUGGGGUCUCGGGGGGAAUUGGAUGAGAGUUUAAAAGGGUGUGGAAAGGACUCUUCCUCGUGCCUCCUAGAAGCUGUCAGCAUGCCCCACACCCUAGGAACAGCUUUCACUGGUGUCUUAAGCAGGUGAGGGUAGCCAAUGGGUUUCACACCUUCAGUGAGCUAGGGACUUCCUCUGCAGGCAAAUACAGGCUCCAGCCUAUUGAGCGGAGGCGACCAGUAGAGGAUCCAACGACUGAGAAGGCGGUUUCUGUACGUUCUGUAGAGGGAAGUGAGGGACAGGUGGGGCUUAUCAACCUGGUAAGGUAUCCCAUCUAGGAGAAGGAAAAUUCUGAUCCUAAACCUCCACUACUUUGCAGGAUAUCUUCAGGAGAAGAAAAGGCUAAGAAGUAAACUCUACACAAAUCCCGAGUGGAGUCCCUUAGUUGGAGGGCGCCUUGUAACCUCUUUCUGGCAAUUCCUGCAGCCCAACUGGUGGCAAAUGCCUUGCUCUGCUUUCCUGUAGACCAUAUCAGUGAGGACAAGAGGCGGCCUUGUUGUCUGGGCAGCCCAGGACACACUGCCCAGACUUACGCCCCUGGGAGGUAAUUUUGGUGCUGCUAACGCAGCAGUUUGACUUCACCUACAAAAGUGCACUCCAUUUUCUUUUGAGAUAGAUGGGUGCCAACAACAAAUGUGUGUCUGUGUGUGUUAAAAAAGGGGUGUCAGAAGAAACCUUUCAACUUCAAACUAUGCAAAGUAAACAAAGUAACAAACAAUGAAACAAAGGGAUAAAGAUAUUAUGACACAAACUCAUCCAGGAAGGCCCCUCCCCUCACAACAGGGUUGCAUUGGCUCAAAAUAACGUUCAAACUGCAUACUUUUAAAAGUGGUAUUAUGAUGAUGAUGAUGAUGAAUAACACCCUUCAUCCAAAGAUCUCAGGGCAGUUCACAAGAUAUUGAUACAUAUUAUACAUCCUAUGGAUGUUGAGAGAGAGAAAUAGAUAAUAAGGAUGUCCUGGGGUUGCCAGUUUUGAAGAGCAAAAAGAGCAUUUGCCGGCUCCUGGGGGAGGGAGUGCAGGAGCAGGCGCAUUCUACAAUGUCCCUUCAAAAUAUACAGAAACAAGGACCUGGUCCUUUCCUGCAUAAUGCAAAACUCAUACAGUAUGUAUAUGUUUUGCACUUGGUUGUCUAGUACAGCAUAUUCAACAUAUAAAGUGGCCCACUCCUGCACUCCAGCACAUUUUGGCAAAUUCAAAAAAUCCACCUGGACAGAAAUUUUACCCCUGAAAAAGAGGCCAUGUCCUGGAAAAAGAGGACAUACGGUAUGUCAACCCUAUGUUCCUACUGGUUUGGGGUUGCUAUUAUUGAAAGAAAAGCAAAAAUGGUGAGUCUUAUUACAGAUUUCAUGCAGCAUGCCAGAUUUGUCCCUUUCUAGUGGCCUUUGCACAACACCUUGUGCACAGCAUUUAUCUGUUUAUCACAUAAAUAUAUAAAUAAGUACCACAUAGUGUUAAUGGACACUAGUUGUUUUUCCCCUCAUUAAUUAUUUCUUUUUCUUUUUUUAAAAUGUUUUUUAUUAAAAUUUCAGUAAAAGAUUAAACAGAAAAACAUAGAAACGAAGUACACAAACAUACAGUACAUAAUCCAAAAAAGAGUC